AACGAACGCUGGCGGCAUGCCUAACACAUGCAAGUCGAACGAGACCUUCGGGUCUAGUGGCGCACGGGUGCGUAACGCGUGGGAACCUGCCCUUAGGUUCGGAAUAACUCCCCGAAAGGGGUGCUAAUACCGGAUAAUGUCUUCGGACCAAAGAUUUAUCGCCUUUGGAUGGGCCCGCGUUGGAUUAGCUAGUUGGUAGGGUAAAGGCCUACCAAGGCGACGAUCCGUAGCUGGUCUGAGAGGAUGAUCAGCCACACUGGGACUGAGACACGGCCCAGACUCCUACGGGAGGCAGCAGUGGGGACUCUUAGACAAUGGGCGAAAGCCUGAUCCAGCAAUGCCGCGUGUGUGAAGAAGGCCUUCGGGUUGUAAAGCACUGUUGUCCGGAAAGAAAUCCUUGGCCCUAAUACGGUCGGGGGAUGACGGUACCGGAAGAAUAGGCACCGGCUAACUACGUG
rnacentral:rRNA from 1 species